UGGGGAAUUUUGGACAAUGGGCGAAAGCCUGAUCCAGCAAUGCCGCGUGUGUGAAGAAGGCCUUCGGGUUGUAAAGCACUUUUGUCCGGAAAGAAAUCCUUGGCUCUAAUACAGUCGGGGGAUGACGGUACCGGAAGAAUAAGCACCGGCUAACUACGUGCCAGCAGCCGCGGUAAUACGUAGGGUGCAAGCGUUAAUCGGAAUUACUGGGCGUAAAGCGUGCGCAGGCGGUUUGCUAAGACCGAUGUGAAAUCCCCGGGCUCAACCUGGGAACUGCAUUGGUGACUGGCAGGCUAGAGUAUGGCAGAGGGGGGUAGAAUUCCACGUGUAGCAGUGAAAUGCGUAGAGAUGUGGAGGAAUACCGAUGGCGAAGGCAGCCCCCUGGGCCAAUACUGACGCUCAUGCACGAAAGGCGUGGGGGAGCAAACAGGAUUAGAUACCCUGGUAGUCCACGCCCUAAACGAUGUCAACUAGUUGUUGGGGAUUCAUUUCCUUAGUAACGUAGCUAACGCGUGAAGUUGACCGCCUGGGGAGUACGGUCGCAAGAUU
rnacentral:rRNA from 1 species